rnacentral:rRNA from 1 species
GACGAACGCUGGCGGCGUGCUUAACACAUGCAAGUCGAACGGAAAGGCCCUGCUUUUGUGGGGUGCUCGAGUGGCGAGCGGGUGAGUAACACGUGAGUAACCUGCCCUUGACUUUGGGAUAACUUCAGGAAACUGGGGCUAAUACCGGAUAGGAGCUCCUGCUGCAUGGUGGGGGUUGGAAAGUUUCGGCGGUUGGGGAUGGACUCGCGGCUUAUCAGCUUGUUGGUGGGGUAGUGGCUUACCAAGGCUUUGACGGGUAGCCGGCCUGAGAGGGUGACCGGCCACAUUGGGACUGAGAUACGGCCCAGACUCCUACGGGAGGCAGCAGUGGGGAAUAUUGCACAAUGGGCGGAAGCAUGAUGCAGCAACGCCGCGUGCGGGAUGACGGCCUUCGGGUUGUAAACAGCUUUCGCCUGUGACGAAGCGUGAGUGACGGUAAUGGGUAAAGAAGCACCGGCUAACUACGU